rnacentral:lncRNA from 1 species
CCGAGUCCUUCUAAUCAUAGUUUUUACUAACAAUGCUCAGUUAUGUUCAUCUCCUUUCAGACUUCCACAAAAGUUAUUGAGAAAUGUAUAAGUCAUGUUUUAUGAUAAUUUGCAAAACUUCAUCAUCCAAAAGCAAGCAUUGAUGUCUAACAUGAGGCAAAGGAAGCCUUCCUCUUUUAAGAAAUCCACCUAAUUUGCCCCUACCAACAGAAAAUGUGUACACCAAUGAACUGAAAUCAAGCCCAUAAUUAAUUAGAAACUAUUGAAGUUAACCUAAGCCAACCAAAAAGAACCUUUUCCUUAUUAGAGGAAACAUAAAGAGUACAUUUCAAACCGUAAAACAAACUAAAAGAAUAAUUUUUAUGCCAUCAUUAUAAAAGAAACAUAGUUUACUAGAAGUAGUCUUCAUUAUUUUCCGCAUCAUUAUAUAUGCACUAUGCAUCAUAGAGUUACCUCCUCCUAAACUGAUGAAGGAAGCUUAUAUUGCAGACGUUUUCUGUCUUUCUGUCUCCAUGUGGGAAUAUCCUUGUAGUAAACCUAAUGAAAAUAGCACACAUGAUUGCAUAUCAUUGAGCUAUGGACCCGAGUCCUUCUAAUCAUAGUUAAGUAUUUACUAACAAUGCUCAGUUAUGUUCAUCUCCUUUCAAACUUCCACAAAAGUUAUUGAGAAAUGUAUAGGUCAUGUUUUAUGAUAAUUUGCAAAACUUCAUCAUCCAAAAACAAGCAUUGAUGUCUAACAUGAGGCAGAGGAAGCCUUCCUCUUUUAAGAAAUCCACCUAAUUUGCCCCUACCAACAGAAAUGGUGUACACCAAUGAACUCAAAUCAAGCCCAUAAUUAAUUAGAAAAUAUUAAAGUUAACCUAAGCCAACCAAAAAG